UUUACAUCUAGUGAAACAUAGUAGGACUUUUGGAUUUUAUUCAAAAGAUGGAUUUUAAUCCGGUGUAAAU
rnacentral:tRNA from 1 species